rnacentral:tRNA from 1 species
UAGAUGUAGCUCAGUUGGUUAGAGCGCUGCACCGGAAUCGCAGGGCCGUAGGUUCAAUUCCUACCAGAG